CCGGCGGCACCAUCACCGGCUGCCCGAAGGUGCGCUGCAUGCAGAUCAUCGCCGAGCUGGAACAGGUGCCGCGCGGCGCCUACACCGGCGCGUUCGGCUGGCUCAACCGCGAUGGCGACCUGGACCUGAACAUCCUGAUCCGCAGCGCGGAAGUGGUCGCUGACGGCACCGGCAGCGUGGCCCGGUUCCGCACCGGCGCCGGCAUCGUGGCCGAUUCGCUCCCGGACAAGGAGCUGGACGAAACCCGCGCCAAGGCCCGCGGCGUGCUGCGGGCGCUGGAAGGCUGACCGCGCGCCUACAGCCUGAGACGGCGA
rnacentral:misc_RNA from 1 species